AUACGGAGGGUGCAAGCGUUGUUCGGAAUUAUUGGGCGUAAAGCGCGUGUAGGCGGCGAGGAAAGUCGGAUGUGAAAUCCCGGGGCCCAACCCCGGAACUGCAUUCGAAACUUCCUGGCUAGAGUCUCGGAGAGGAGAGCGGAAUUCCCAGUGUAGAGGUGAAAUUCGUAGAUAUUGGGAAGAACACCAGUGGCGAAGGCGGCUACCUGGACCGGUUCUGACGCUGAGGUGCGAAAGCGUGGGGAGCAAACAGGAUUAGAAACCCCAGUAGUCC
rnacentral:rRNA from 1 species